GAGUAUUGUGAAGGCCGGGGAGGUAUUCCGCCUGGACCAUCAGGUUCCUGGCAAAGCAAUAGUUCCAGAAAUCUUUCGCUAAACGGGCCAGUAUCGCUGAGCGUGUGCCGCCCAGGUGGUUGACAUAGCGAACCGCUGAAAUGUUGUCCAUACGUAGCCUGAUGCAUGCACUGUCCGUGCCGUUCGCAAAGCUCCGGAUCGCAAAGGAACCGGCUAAUAGUUCCAGGGCAUUGAUGCGG